GCGUGCGUGGCUGUCUCUUGUCAUGGCAGGCUAAUAAUGCUUCCACUACUGAAAAUGGGGUCGUGUGCACUCUUCUGACAAUGCUGUGCCGGCCCAGGGGCUUGAUUGUGUGCCGUGCUCAUGGUUUCAUUAAAAGAGAGAAGGGAGAAGAGAGUGACGGAAAUGAGGGAUAAAUGAAGUGGAGGACAGAUGAAUAGUGAAGUGUGCAUGUAUUAAUAUGUGUGUAUCUGUUUGAUGUGUUUUUCCACUAUAGUGAACCUGUGUACCUACGUGUUGUCACGUAAAGGUGCUUGUGUGAAUGAAUGCACAUGAGCAACACGCCGGACAGGCCACAUAUUGUCCCUGCUAGCUGUGUUUCCAUGGUGACAGCAAGGGUUGGUGCUAGCAGCAAGGUGUGAAGGAACCUUCCAGAUAACCCUGAAGGUCAGCUCACAGAGCUUCAGCUCGCAGCACUACUCUGUACUGACGCACCUAACCGUCUCUGUGUGUGUGUGUGUGUGUGUGUGUGUGUGUGUGUGUGUGUGUGUGUGUGUGUGUGUGUGUGUGUGUGUGUGUGUGUGUGUGUGUGUGUGUGUGUGUGUGUGUGAGAGAGAGAAAGAGAGUGAGUGUUAUGAUGCAUUUCCACUUAUAUAUGGACAUGGUUGGCCACCCUCGGAAUGACAGAAGCUUGUUAUCGCGCGCACACACAUACAUAUUGCACACAUACGCAGUCACACAGUAGACACACAGAAUAUUAAUGGACUUAUAAUAUGCCCUCAAACUUGUUCCUGGACAUAAAUAAACAUUCACACAAGUGGUAGUCAAUGUGAACGUAGUAGUAGAGUGUAUUUGUCAAUGAUCUGUUGAUCACAGUUUGAUUCUCACUUGCCACCAUGGCAUCGAUCUUGACAUAACAUUUACAGCGCCACUGACCAAUCCAUACAAUACACGCUCUAUUAUAGAAAUCUAGUAACUAGAUACUGAAACCAAUGAAAUAUAUUUAGGAGUGAGUGCCUGUGUGCGUCCGUCAGUCCAGUUUUGUGUGUGAGCCAGCAACAAACUCUGCUUCCUUACCAGGGAUUAGCCAGCUCUAACCGAACAGACACAAUCCACAUAUCACCAAAUAAAGCCAGAACCAUAUUAGACGUUUCAGCCAGUGACUCUCAUAUCCCUCCUCUCUCUGACAUUUCUUUACAAAUACCAGCCCCUAUUCACUCUGUUAUUGCCUUCUCCUAUACAGCAAUUCUCUGAUUAAACAAGCUCCUGAAAAGACCAGGCCCUGCUAUCUGCCAUUUGGCUUUUAUUAGAAACCCACCCUUUAAUUAAAUUGGCUAAAUUACAGAAAUAUCAGGGAUAGUUCACCAAUAUAUGGGAUAAGAGAGCACAAUGGGUGAAAAAAAUAUGGGAUAAGAGAGCACAAUGGGUGAAAAAAAAAAAGCAAGACUGGGCUUUAUGAGAUGUUUUGAAUGCGGUUUGGUGGUGAAAUGAGAUAAACACAAUCUUGAUAGUGGGGUGAUUUUUUCUUUUUUUUUCUUUUUUUAAGGAACUCGAUGUUUGUUUGAUCUGGAUGAGUCUCUUCACCAAAUGUGUGUCACAGCUGACACUCUCAGUGCCUGUCAUUUUAUUUAAUAGCAUUUUUAAGAACUGGAUUUAUUUUUUCCACUGCCUCCUUCUAGUCCGACUCUACUCUCAACCCUGCACCUUCAGUGCCUUUCUUUUCCCGCCUUAUUACUGUGAAAGAUUGGUGAUUGAGGUUGCCUUGGUAACCGGCCCCACUUUGAUUGGGGGAGACAGCUGCAUGGUGCGAGGUUAGAAGAUGGCUGUUCACGUCUCACAAUGCGCCACUAUUGAUUUCCAGUCCUUGUCAAUUACUGGGCCCAGCUGACUAAAACGGGCUGGAAGAAAAUGUGCAUAAAGCAGGUGUGUGUGUGUGUGUGUGUGUGUGUGUGUGUGUGUGUGUGUGUGUGUGUGUGUGUGUGUGUGUGUGUGUGUGUGUGUGUGUGUGUGUGUGUGUGUGUGUGUUUUGGAGGGGUUACUGUAAUGCUCACUCUGCAGCCAACAUACAGUAUUUAUCUUGCUUUUUUUCACCCAUUUAAGUGCAGGUGUUUGUCUGAAAAACAAUUAUUUGAGUUGUUGCCAUACAGUAGCUUUAAUCUCUCAGAAAUCCUGUAGUUUGAGCUGGAGACAAGUUUGACAGUCAGCCACAGAGCCUAAUGUAUAUACGUUUUAGCGGCCCUGCACCCUCUUCUUUGUUCAGCUCUUGAAACGCUGUUUGUCCGCUGUUCUUUCUCAUCCAGCUGAAGAGGUGUCGGCAAAUGAGAGGUAUUCAGUCAGACUUUGACAAACUGCUGCCCUUUGUAAAGACUUAAUGGGGAUCAAUUCAAGUAAAGUUAGACACUUGUAGAAUUCACAUGCCGUCACAUAAUGCUCAGUCACACAUACACACACAUUCCCACACGUACCUAUUUCUUUUUGAAAUUCACCCACUGCUAGUCUUUUGCCCUACACUUUUCCCUAUCAUCUUUUCUUCUCUUUUCUCAGCCAACUUGGCAUUGUAUAUGUGAGAAGUCGACAGUGAGACUAAUUGGAGUGUGUGGCUCCAUCAAUGACAGUCACCAUUCUGUUUCUACACGCAGCACACGCUCACAUGGAGCUCAAUAGCUAAUUGAAUAUUCUUUUAUUAAACUGUGUUAAUGUGAACUGGAACUGGCUGCUGGUGAACUGAAUUCGACCCCCCACCACAACCGUACACAUAAACACACCCAGCUCAGUGGAGCAGUUGGAUGGAUGACGCCUCAGCUUAGAGGGAGGAAGAAGAAGAAGAAGAGUAAACAAGAGGAAAAUGAGAGGUGAGUGUUUUGGUACAUUCAAUGUAAGGUUUGUGAUUUAGAAGUGUGUGAAAUGUGUAAAAGUUGUAUAGGCUAAAACUAUCACAUGGUUAGAUAGCACUACUAGUAAAGUAGAAAAAAUUUGUUUUUGUGUGUUGUGAUUUGGACACCUUUAUCUUGAAGACUCAGCACUGGAUCACAUUUGGCUCAGAAGUUUGCCUUUCCACAAAACUCUGAUGCACUUAUUUCCAUGUAAAGUCCGAAAAAGUGAGAUUCAGCCUACUUUCACAAACAAAUGACGUGUAUACUCUGGCACUGCUAGGGGACACAACUAUGUCAUGGCAGGUGUGUAUUGAUCAGGAACCCAAGAAAGCGCAGUGUCGGGUGUGAAGUUUGGAUGAGUGGUUCUCUUGAAAGCUGCAAGCAGAAAUACCAGAGGCAAAGCAAUCGGCCGAACAGGUCCGAACAGGCAUGUUUUGAACGGGCACUAGUUCUCUUAAUGCGGCGCCAGGGCUGUUUCAUUUUUUGGCCACACCCCAAUCAGUGAUGUUACCAUAAAUGUUGUAUUUGAAAGCUGAAGGUACUUUUAGAUUUGCAUUGAAUAAAGCUGCUGCUUCACUGCUUUUAGCUGUCAGAGUGAAAGCCUGAAGGGGUGGGACAAUAAGUGAAAACAAGUAAAUAAUGAUAGCUGUUGUAUAUAAGUGUUUGCUGAUUAUGAUGCAUAUUAUUGUUUGACUGUGGCCUGGGCGAACAAGAUAUUGCACAAAGCUAAACACACCUUUCUCAUAAUGCAACGCCUUAGCAUCCUGGUCUGUUAAAUUGUCUCCUCUUUCACCCGAGGGACGGAUACUAACACCUGUGCUGCAAAUAUCUGGAAGUGACAUGAUGUGAUUUAUGUUUGGACAAUUAUCUAAUAAGAAUAAGCAUCUGCUACCAAACCACGAUGGGCCUGCAUCUGCAAGCAUUUUAAGUCUUACAUUUUUUUGUGUGGAGUUUUCCUUUGAUUACACAUAGUGAAAUGACUCCCCAUCAUUUUAUGCUUGAUGUUAGCUGCACUGAGUGUACUGUCUUCAUUUGACCCCCAGGGAGACCCACUUUCUGUUUCAUCCAGCAUCCACAGACAAAGACCCAGAAUACAAAGGGUGGUAGGACUAGAGAGAAUGUAGAGAUAAACUGGGGGGCCCUGAAGCAGCAGGGAGCCUGACCCAAGCGCGUGGAGUGAAACUAGGGCGGACACAGCACGUGACUGAGGGUGGAGCAGUUCAAUAACCCUACACUGUCAUGGCUGACACUGGAGGAGCAGAGCAGCUCUGGAAGAAAGGCAACAAAAAGAAAAGGAGAAGGCUGAACUAACCCAAUAUGCCAGUGAAGACAGAGGGUAAGGAAAGGGAACUAGGGAAAGAGGUCAAGGUUAUGAAGGACAAAGUAUUUCAUCUGGCCGCUGGGGCGGAGAGAGAGACAGAGUGGGUGAGGUUAAGAGAAAGAGUCGGAGAGACAGUCCACUGAGGCAGCUUGGAGAAGAUAGCUCCCUCCUUUCUGCUUUAUUAUAUUACGCUGGUGGAUAAAAAGAAUACGACAUCCUCUAAAGUCAUUACAGCCCAGUAAGACUGGCUCAGAGGGCAAUGCAGCUCCUUAACCCCGCUCAGCACAUGCCUGGAUGUGUGUGCGUCUCUCAGAGGGUUAUUGAAUGAGAGAAAGGGUGUGCGCACGUCUGAAAGACUGAGCAGGCCUGUUUAUGUGUGUGUGUGUGUGUGUGUGUCUAUGCUUGCACACACAUUCACCAAACCAAAGUGGCACAUCACUUAAUCCUUCCCCAGUAACUAGGAUAAGCCACCAGUCUUAUCUUUCCUUCUCCCCCUUCGUUCUUUCCCUCACUCUUUUUUUUUUCCUCUGGAAACUAUUGUCCCUUUUCCCGUCAUGCCCCCCCACACCCCUCCCUCUUUCAUUCUUAUUAUUACCCUCCUCAGCCCCAGACUUUAAUGCCUCAUUAUUCUGUAUUUAGGGCCUGGAAUCUUCUCUUGCACCGGCAGUAGGGGCUAACAUGGAUUCUACAUUUCUUUAUUGCCAGGCUGUGCACAGGAUUUGAGAGAAGCUUUCCGGGUGGACAAGGAUUUUGCUGCCAUCAUCAGCCAUGCUGCAGGCUCCUGGCAAGGAGUGAUAUUUUGAUAUUAUGCCAGGAAGUGCCGCUACAACUACCCUUGGGAAUGGAGCAACAGGUCUAGUAUCUGAGUUUACAUUGAGUUGUAGGUGCAGUAAAUGUGUGGCUUGUUUUUAAAGCAACCAACAGUUUCAGCAGCGGCCAAGUGUAGUGUAUCAGUGACUAUCCUAACAUUCUCAGUUCAUAUACAUAAAUGUCAGAGGCUGUCAUAAUAAUAAAAGGUAUGGAUAUUACAUUUCAUUCAUUUUCACCCAUCUAAUGUAACAUUCUUCUUUUCCCUUCCACUCUUUUUGCUCAAUGUCCAUUGUCUUUCAUUUCCCCCAGAUCUACCAAUAACACCAGUGCUUCAUCACCUUAAGUAGCAUCAAAAUUAGUAAGGAAAAAAGUGAAAUGAUUAGAGCACUUGGAGGACUCAAAUAUUAGUGUACCUAUGUGCAUUUUUGUUAUUAACAUCUAAUUGUUGACUGCUUUAUUCCAUGCAUGACCCUUGCCAAACUUUCUUUAAUUUUCUACCAAUCUUUGCCAUUCCCAGUUCGGAUUGAGAGUCUAAGGUGUGGGGGAAUUUUUGUUAAUUUAUAACAUUAAGAUACAGUCAGUGUGAUGCCCUUUGAGACUUUAUCUGCAAUUAAGGGCACAGGUAUAAAAUAAGUAGGGUAACUAAUUCGUACAAAUUGUCAUCCGACCAAAAGGCAAAAGUGUUUAUACCUGUUCACAACAGCCUCACGCCGGGGUGAAAAGCUUGCCAUCAGAAAACGGGUCAAGAUGUGAUGAAUAGUACAAACGCAAAUAACGACACACUUUCACACAGUCUCACCUCAAAUGUAUAUGUAUUCAUGGCGUCACACUCGUUUCUACACAUAAAAAGUGACACAAGCGACUGUACAGACACUUUGUUUGAAGCAUACUGUCAUCUUAAAACUGGUCUGGUCAGGCAGUUACACUGACCAUUUGACACACUUAUAACACACUCAUUUUUUCUUCUCCAUACUGCCUCUGUCACUCAUGCACUGACACAAAUGUAGUGUCAAUAAUGGCAGGGGGCUGUUUGUAUAAUGAUCAUAUCUUCCCAGAUUGACGGGGUGCUAUCGGCUUUGUCUGUCACACAAAGAGAAGAGAGGCAGUGUGAGUACAAGUGGAUCACACACACAAACACACACUGAACCCCUCUAUCAUGGCGUCCUCCUAUAGACUUCCUGUGUCAACAGAAGCUUUGAUUAACUGGGGACAGGCAGUAGCCUUUGUAUUACUUGGACAAAAGCGGAGUUACAUGGUGAAUUUUUAUUGAAGACAGCACGCUGCAAGUUGUAGCAGUGGAAUUAUGAGGUACAGACUGGCACAGCAUGAAAGCUGUAAAAAGAAUAUUUGAUUUGAAUACAUCAAAUCAGUUUUCAUUUCAACCCUGCUGCUUAGUUUUUUCCGCUCCUUGUUUGUGAUUAAUACUCGGAAAGAAACAUUUAAAAAAAAAACUCCAUAUUUGCCAUCUCUCAUCUUGUAACUUUAGCUAGGAAUCAUCUAGAUAACAUAAAUUAAACACAGGCAAUUUCCCUCCCCACUGACAGUGUGAUUUUACCUUAAACUUCCAAUUAGCUGUCUGCACUUUAGCUAUCCAUCACUCCAGAAAGGCUUUCGCUACCCACCGAAUAAUGUACAUCAGCCACACUGGGAUCAAUUUGACUCUGAUGAUAGGCAUGUGGGCUGUAUCCAUCAAACCCGGCUAUUAAUGACAGCAAAGGGAAAUUAAUAUUUAAGCUGCUUUCAUGUACGGAGCCGGAUGUGACGGGACGUGAUGUCUGUGAGUGCACAUGAGUUUGUGGAUGCUGUGUGUGUGCGCUCACUUCCCUGAAGGCAGGACGAUUGUGUGUGUAGUAGCAGAUAAGUGAAAGGGCCUCUGCCUCUUUACCUGCUGGCAGGGUGUCUGCCAGCUGAAAAGCUGGCCAGUGCCAACAGGCCAACUGAAUGCCAAUCAGCAGUGGCCUGCAGGGCAUGUGUGGUCAACCUUUGUUAGAGGAGUGGGGUGAGAAGCUGAAUUGUGGACUUUGUAAUGUUUUAAUGAGCAAUGUGUGGGUGUAACUGCAUAUUAGAGUCGUAGGACAUAGUUGACAGGGUUCUGGUGGGGGCAGGCGACUGAUUUGGACACAUGCACUGGUAUGAGAGGAAAAGGAGUGUGUCUUGUCUGCUGAGGCAUCAAUGGAAGCUUGGUUCCCCCCAUAGAUGGCAGCAUUACACUCAGAGUCCCCCAUUCCUCUCACACCCCUCUAAAAACCAUUUAAUUGCAGCACUGGAAGGUCUUUCUCUAUGACACUGUUAAUCCAUAAAGGCAAGGCAAGGCAUCUUUAUUUGUAUAGCACAUUUCAGCAACAGGGCAAUUCAAAGUGCUUUACAUAAAACAUUAAAGAGCAGUUAAAAACGAGUAAAAACAAAAAUGUAAAUACGAUAAAGGGAAAUUCGCUGUUCACCUCAAGGAGAUCAACACAGGCUGUAGCAUCCUGGAACUGCUAGAGUCUCAGUUUCUGCUCAAGAAUACUAGGAAGGCCAGGUUACCGGCUUGGGUUGCUUAGUAAACCAGGUCAGAUUUAGACAGAUUUGAACUUGGUUUCAUUAAAAACGGACGGAAAAAGCUUUUUAUUUAAAUGCAACUUAAGUCCACUUUUUUGAGUUAGUUAGAAGUUGUUUCACUUUUUUUCCCAGAGAAAACAACAUAACAUUCCAACAUAUAAAUACAGCAAUCAACUCUCAGCAGUAUGGACAGUAUGGAGUAUGGAAGUAGUAGAAUUAGCACCUCUAUAACUUGUAAGUUUGUCGUUUACAGUGUUGAUCAGUGUUAUAUUGUGCCUGUGGCUAAUUUACACCCACCCUACUACCCAUUCAUAUGCCCAAUUAUGUCACUCUCUACGGUCUCUGAUAACUAUUUCUUGAAUUCUGGCUGACCAUCAGAUGUUAUAUUAAAAUGGCUGAAACACCAUAGAGGAACACCAACCUGACAGAGCUGUAAGGCGGUUGGACAGUGAAAAGGACGUGUUUAAUUUAAAACAGGGUGCUAAAUAGCUCUUUAACAGCUUUUCCGUAUCAUAUUGCAAGAACAAUAAUUUUUUUUUUUUUUGUAUCUUGAAUUGGUAAUUUGAAGUAGCACAGUUAUGUACCAGACUAUGUCUUGGCCGGAGUAACUGUGCCUGGCCAAGAAAUAGUCCGACCCAUAACCCCUUGUAACACCAUAACUUUUUUACUAGGGGUGCACGAUUCAGAAAAUGUCUCGAUUCGAUAUCGAUUUUCAGGCUCGAGAUUCGAUUCAAAAUCGAUUUCAAAUUCAAAAAUGAUUCUCGAUUAAAAAAAAAACGAUUCACGGUAUGUAAAUGUAGGGUAACACUUUUCCCAUGUGAUUGCAGUAGACAUACAAUUUAAUAGGGGUGUGCAAAAAAAUCCAUUCACAUUCAAAUCGCGAUUCAGGCUCUAUCGAUUCAUAUUUAUUUAUUUAUUUUUAAAUUGUAUGUCAACAGUAAUCACAUGGGAAAAGUAAUUACAUUUACAUACUGGGAAUCGUUUUUUUAAUAGGGAAUCAUUUCUGAAUCGAAAAUCAAAUCUUGAGCCUGAACAUCGAAUCGAAUAGCGAUAUUUUCUGAAUCGAUUUUGAAUCGGUAGAGCUUGAAUCGCGAUUCAAAUGUGAAUAGAUUUUUUUUGCACACCCCUAGUUUUUACGCUUUGGUUUUUGAACUAAAUGUAAGAUGUAGAGGUGCUGGUAAGAGUUUUUUCUACGAUUGGACAGAGCAAGGCUAGCUGUUUCCCUCUUCCAGUCUUCAUGCUUCGCUAAGCUGACUGGCUGCUGGCUUCGACAGACGUGAGAGUGGUAUCAGUCUUCUCAUCUAACUCUUGCAAAGCAAAUCAAUGCAUUUCCGAAAAUAUUGAAAUACGUCUCUAAUCCAGAGGACUGACUGAUUGGCACACACACCGGCACACAGCCUUCAAAAACUGGGUCACACAAUCCGUUGUACAGAUGCCUCUACAUACUGUUUACUAUCACGACCCAUGAAAUUGAUUCUUUUUAUCUGUAUGUUUGUGAGCGUUUUCACAGCGUGACACAGGUUGCUCUCCCUCUUUCCCUCCAUGCCCUCGCCAUACAGUACCUGGUAUGUCUGUGUUGUGUGCGAGAUACUCAUUUCAUGGUUCAUUUGUCGCCUCACGAGCUCCGUUAAUAAACAAGACCCUUUGUUGCCACUGUCUCUCUGACACCUCCCUGCGAGCGUGUGUGCGUGUCGGCUGUCAGCCGGCUUGUCUUCAGCUCUCGCGUGGGAUUAGGUGAGGCGUCAUGCUCCUCAGCAUCCCGCCAUCAUGUCGAUAGUGAACUCAUUACCAACUUCACCAGUACCCAUUUAGGGAUCAUAACUCCUUCCACCAACAAAUCAGUAAAUCUCAUUGUUCUCGGAUUGUGUGCCAAUGAAUUUUUGAAUUGAAAAAUGUUAUAUUUUGUAUGAACAGUUAAACUGGUAUUUUUUCUGCCUGUGUUUACUGUCUGUCCAUGUGUAUCUAUAUCUGUUUACUGUAUGUAUCAAUAUGAAAAAGACUGAUGAUGAAAAAAAAAAUUGCAUAAGAAUUGGUCAACGGCAGGGUUCAUCUCCCAUCUGCCCAGAAUGCAUCUGUGAUGGGAGAGAGCAGCACUAGCAUACAACCUCUCCUAGCAUUUUACGUAUUUUAAAGAAGCUCAGCGAGGCUGCCGCAGUCUGUUUCUUUGCAUUUUUUCUUGAAACACUUUCUGUAAAAUUCUUCUCUUUCAUAGCAAGCUUGUGAAACGCUUUGAGCACGAUGCACAAAAGAACAGUUGGCAUAAAUGGGACUAUAAUAAUAGCCUUGAUGAUUUUCAGAGUAGUGAAGUUUUUUUUGAACAUGUUUUUCAAAUGUGUUUAAUAAACUAAAGCAGACACAGUUAUGAUGAUGAAGAGAUAAUUCAUAUUAUUUUCACUUUAUGGCACGUUCUAUUAAAAAGCCGUUUCCUUGGAGCCUAACAUUGAAUAUUGAGUUUAUUUUUUCCACUCAGACAGCAUGAAGGAGUGUUUAUAUGUUGUAUUAUUAAAAGGGAGAGAGCCGAGACAGUGACUAAUCUAUUUCCUUUCACACACAGCAGCCAGUAAUCACUGUUCUAUGGAGCUGCUCACUCAUCCAUCCAUAAUGUUAUCAAGACACAUUAUCUAUGUGUGUUUUGCGAGCGCUUAUAUGUGUCCGUGCACUUGUGUGAUUUUUUUAGGGGCUUUGAAAGCUGGUGUUAAAAAUGCUAUAUGGACAUUCUUGUGUGUGCAAGAGUGCACAUUUGUGUUUCUAAGGAUUUAAAAAAAACUGCGUGUGUACCUUUGUGUCAGAGCUCCGUCCACACUGCAGAUCCAAAUGCAACACGUUCUCCCUGCAGCUUGUGGCUCGAUCUCACAUUGUCAGCUAGCGAAGGUCACACUCUAAUGUGUGAACAUCGGCCCCUCUGCCUAGUUGUGAAAGGCAGAGGUAGCUUUCUGCUUGGACAAGGCCACAGAAACAUGUCUUCCUGCUGUUUGUUUUAUUACAGGGUCCGGCUUACUGUGCUGCCACUGGGGUCUCUAUAUUAUCUAUCUGUGUGACAGUGUGCAGUGCUGUGGAUAUUUUAAAUAUAUGUACAAACUGGAAUUUAUGCAGAUACAGGUGAAUGGCUCGUGGUUUUGAUUAUAACAUACAAGGGACGGAUGCGUUGGGAUGCAGAAGGGGUCAUGACGGUCACAAACAACAGGAGGAUCUUCAAAAAGUGAGAUGAGGUGUAGCAGUGAUCCUCGUGAGAGUGUCUGGACCCCGACCUUUACCUCCACGUGACCCCAGCUCUGUUUUACUGCCCCUCAGCCUGCUAGCACCCACACCUGUCGUCACCCAUUAGAUAGUAUGGCACACAACGCCACAGGAGCAGCUGCAUCUGUCAGCCAGUACAUUGCACUGACAUGGUUGGAGGUAAUCCACUGUUGAUUGGCUGUAAACCAAGACAAGCAUAUCAGCUGGAGUGAGAAUGAGUUCCAUGGGUUUGUGCCUUGCUGGAAUAGAGAGCUGGAUAACGUCUGCGCUAUGAAUAGUCAUCUCCAAUCUGACCUCACAAGACCAAGCACAUUAUGGUGUGUUGUUCACACACAUUCACACGCGCACAAAAUUGAACUGAAAACAUGGUUAAAAAAAAACUUGAUCCAGUUCUUCCGGACACGGAGUCCACAGAGUGCCAGACAUCGCCAGCGGGCUCAAGAAAACAGUGGUGUGUGUGUCUGUCAGUUGGCUGUUCUUUCUAUGUUUAUGUGCAUCUAUGUGUGUGGGAGUGUUUGAAGGAACCAGAAGUGACUUGAAUAUGUACUGUGAGCAAGUAUGUAUGCACACAG